rnacentral:rRNA from 1 species
UACGAAGGGGGCUAGCGUUGCUCGGAAUCACUGGGCGUAAAGCGCACGUAGGCGGAUUGUUAAGUCAGGGGUGAAAUCCUGGAGCUCAACUCCAGAACUGCCUUUGAUACUGGCGAUCUCGAGUCCGGGAGAGGUGAGUGGAACUGCGAGUGUAGAGGUGAAAUUCGUAGAUAUUCGGAAGAACACCAGUGGCGAAGGCGGCUACCUGGCCUGUUUCUUGACGCUGAGGCGCGAAAGCUAGGGGAGCAAACGGG